GUUUUCUCGUGGGGUUCACGGUUUUGCGAGAAAUCUAGCCUAAAAGUCGAAAUGAGCUAAAACUUCCCGGAUAAAAAUUGGACUCGAUGGAUUUUGGUGUUUUUGGUGUCUAUGGAAAGCUCUCGAGGUAUAGAUGGUGUUUGACACAAGACCUGGCACAAACAGUGGCCGGAUCGGCCGGAUCAUGGCCGGGAAGCUGAAGCGGCGCGCUGCGCGUCGGGUGUCUUCGCGCGCGCUUUCUCGACGUUCCAGGCGACGGCCGGUGAGGAGGGAAGGGCGAGGCGGCGCACCGGCGAGCUAGGGAGGCUGGGGAGGUGGCUAGCCGGCAUGGGGAGGAAGAAGGAGAGAGAAAACGGGAGAGAGAGGAAGAAGGGUCGGGAUGCGCAAGGUUUUUUCUUAUGAAACGCCUACUUGGGGCAUGACCCACGACACAAACACAUCAUUGCCAAGGGAGCAAAGCAAUAAUAGUAGUUUGGCUCAAAAAGAAUAAGACUUCUCAUUUAGAGUUUGACCAGGAUAUAAAAUAGAGUACACACAAUAUAAGUUGGUAUUCUGACCUUUCUUAAUUGCACUGUCAUC
rnacentral:misc_RNA from 1 species